GGAACACUAUCAGGAGAACCCCCAUGAUCCAAUCACCUCCCAUCAGGUCCCUCCUCUGACACGUGGGGAUUACAAUUGGAGAUGAGAUUUGGACAGGGACACAGAGCCAAACCAAAUCAUUUAAGAAAGGAUGAAUUCACCCAGCAUUGAAAUCAAGUGAAAGCUUCAGACAAAAGUGAAGCAAAUUAAAGUCCAUCCCGCCAUCCUUCCAAAGAGCAAAGAAAGUCCAUGGAAAUUCAUCAACAUCCAGGAUGCUCAGGAGCUUCCAGGUUCAACAGAUGCGUGAGAUCCAUAGCAGAAACAUUGCUGUCCUCUUCAGAUUCAAGUACGGGUGAAAGUCAAGCUCUGGGAUACUGGAGCAGGGCUAUAUAAUUCUCUUUCCCUUGUAAUUUCAUUAAAAAAGAUUAAGGAAACCCUUGAAAAGUUGUAGAUACCUAAAAUUUUGGCCGUGCAUUGAUCAUCCACAAAAAGUGAAAGAUCACAAGUGAUCAAGCCACAUGUGUGAAAAAUCUCAAAUACACUUUGGGAGGCCGAGGCGGGCCGAUCAUAAGGUCAGGAGAUCGACACCAUCCUGGCUAACAGGGUGAAACCCCGUCUCUACUAAAAAUACAAAAAAUUAGCUGGGCAUGGUGGUGGGCACCUGUAGUCCCAGCUACUGGGAAGACUGAGGCAGAAGAAUGGCGUGAACCCGGGAGGCGAAGCUUGCAGUGAGCCGAGAUCGCACCACUGCACUCUAGCCUGGGCAACAGAGCGAGACUCCAUCUCAAAAAAAAAAAAAAAAAAAAAAAGAAAGAAAACUCUCAAAUAACUCUUGAUUCAAAUAGUCAACAUAACUCCUGGAGGAAAAAAAAAAGCAUUUCUACAUUGAGAGAGACAUUGCUAUAGUCCCC
rnacentral:lncRNA from 1 species